CCUUGGGUGGCUCAGAUGAUAAAGCAUCUGCCUACAGUGCAGGAGACCCGGGUUCAAACCCUGGGUCGGGAA
rnacentral:tRNA from 1 species